rnacentral:rRNA from 1 species
AUGGGACAGCAUCUUCCGGCGUCGGCUAAUAGAAAAAUAUUUGUCCCGAGCGGGAGCUGCCAAGAAGAAAAGUUGUCCCGGGAGCGGGCACCGGGCACCGGGCACCGGGAGGGGGGGCGAGACGCCCCGGUUGAGGAACGAUGGUUGUGGGUCCCGCAUGCCGUCCCGUCAUAUGCAAGGCGUCGCUCCCCCAAUUCCAAAUCGAAUCCUCGCGUUUGUUCCCCCAAAUCCCUAGCGAGGCUCUGUGCUGCAUUCGGCGCAAUGGGACGGAAGGAGAUCAUGGAGCUCGGCAUCGGCGGGCCGAAGGAGAUCCUGGACCUCGUCAGCGGCAAGCCGACGGAGAUCAUUGGCCUCGGCAGCGGCAAGCUCCAGGACUAUCCCUUGGUGAGGCGGCUCCGCAACCGGCGGCUCCUCACCUACCUCUGGCUCCAGGGCUUCGACGCCGCCUACGACAGCGUUGUGCAUGAGUCGGGUGUGCAGAUGAGCAGGCUACAUCUGCGGCAGCUGCUGAUCCGGGGCCAGUGGAGAGAGGCCAUCAAGUACAUAACGCGCUUCCUGCCGCCGGCCGUUGACCGGGGCGUCGAGACCCGUUCCCUCCUCAUCUUCCUCCACGCGCUCUGGUCCCUGGCAAACGUCGCCGGGUGCUCAGCGGGCGGCUUCGCGAACCAGUCCGUGCACCGCGACCUCAGCUUCCUCAAGUCCAUUUGCAGUCGCAGCGCCAAGCUCGCCUCCAUCCUCCAAUACACACUCCACUCGCCGCAAUUUAGGGCGUCCCUGAACUGGAUACUGGUGAGGGAGAAGGCAUCGUUCAUUGCCGAUGACUUGGCUCUUGAGAGUCCUGAGUUGAGACGCAAGUUGCUAUUGCCCGGCGGCCCAGGUCUCCCGCAGGACUUGUUUCCCAUCAGUCCCCUUCGUCCAAGGCGCCACUGGACGCAACAAUUCCCGCGGCCAAAGCCGGAGGCUAUUGCCAAGUGCUAUCUCAAGAGGAGGAGGAGCCUGCCCUCUGCAAGCCCACUUUAUGGAUUGCCCGAUAAUGCAGUCAGCCGGGUGUCAGAUCUUAUUGAGGGGUGUUUAAAAGCCGGUAAACUUCCGGAGCUCCAUCGAGGGAACCCACUUCAAUCAAAUGCAAAGGAAGGUGCUUCUGGGACUUCACUUCUGCAGACCAUGUUUGGUACUGUGACAAGUUCUUCUGAAAACACUGGGACCUCAUCAGUGACAAAUGCAGGUGCUCCAACUUCCAUAGGUCAGCCCUGUCCUUGGUGCUCAUCGGUUGCAAAUUCAGGUGCUGCGGUCUCACAGCCUAUUAAAAUCCCUUGGAUCACAUCUGCGACAAAUGCAGCCCCUAUCAAGUGUUUGAGACAAGAUGGUUGGUGUACCAACAGUGCUACUCAAGGUUCUGCUGGAAGAGGAAAGAAUUCAGGAGAAGAUUUGAUGACUUUUGAGGAAGAUGGUCCUGAUAGGAAAAGGCAACGGACGAAACUGGAGUUGGUGACUGAAGUGGAAGCUGGAUCUUGCAGCGCCAACUUGAUGGCUUACUGA